GAAUCGUUGGUCUAGGGGUAAGAUUCUCUGAAAAGGUGCGAGAGGUCCCGGGUUCAAAUUCCAGACGAGCCU